rnacentral:piRNA from 1 species
UGUGAUUUAAUUUUGAAUCUCUGCGUAAU